rnacentral:rRNA from 1 species
UACGUAGGGGGCAAGCGUUGUCCGGAAUCAUUGGGCGUAAAGCGCGCGUAGGCGGCCCGGUAAGUCCGUUGUGAAAGUCAAAGGCUCAACCUUUGAACGCCGAUGGAUACUGCCGGGCUAGAGUCCGGAAGAGGCGAGUGGAAUUCCUGGUGUAGCGGUGGAAUGCGCAGAUAUCAGGAGGAACACCAAUAGCGAAGGCAGCUCGCUGGGACGGUACUGACGCUGAGGCGCGAAAGCGUGUGGAGCGAACAGG